GAUCAUGGCUCAGGAUGAACGCUAGCUACAGGCUUAACACAUGCAAGUCGAGGGGCAGCAUGGUCUUAGCUUGCUAAGGCUGAUGGCGACCGGCGCACGGGUGAGUAACACGUAUCCAACCUGCCGUCUACUCUUGGCCAGCCUUCUGAAAGGAAGAUUAAUCCAGGAUGGGAUCAUGAGUUCACAUGUUCCGCCAUGAUUAAAGGUAAGUUUUCCGUUUACGGUACGAUGGG
rnacentral:rRNA from 1 species